UCUUUAUAUUCCAUUAGGUACUCUAGUAUGUUAUUGAAAAGGCACCACCACUGGGGAAACCUCAACUCAAAUCUCUACCCAGGUUCUACUUUGAACUGUUUUCUAAGCAUACGUAACAACACCAUUAAAAGAGUCUCCUGAGGAGCUCUCGCCUUCCCUGAAACUCAGAUAAAUGUAAUUACCUCUCGUGGUAGAUCACAAGAAGGAGGAUAAAUACAUAUAAUAGGAAAGACAUCAUAAAAGAUGAAGAAAGCCACUGACCAGCUGUUACGUGUAUGAAGAUGGGGCUAAAUCUUGAGCAAUGAAAUCCACAGCAUGUGUGGACCUAGGAAUUGUUUCGAACAUGUGCAGUGCAUGAACUUCCUGGAUAGAAGGUAGCAGUGUGUGAGCUUUUAGAGAGACAACUCUUGGUAACGAAAAGCUCCCAGACCAGUUAUACUCAGGGAGCGAGAUUUUAACUUCUUAGCAUUGAGAGACUCCACUUCCUCACUGGUGGCUGGCAAGAUGGUCAAAUAGGAACAGCUUCAGUCAGGAGCAGCUCCGUUUUGCAGCUCCCGGCGAGAUCAACGAAGAAGGGUGAUUUCUGCAUUUCCAACUGAGGUACCCGGCUCAUCUCUCCGGGACUGGUUAGAUAGUGGGUGUGAACCAUGGAGGACGAGCCGAAGCAGGGUGGGGCGUCACCUCACUGUGGAAGCACGAAGGGUUGGGGAACUCACUCCCCUAGCCAAUGGAAGCCAUGAGGGACUGUGCUGUGAGGAAGGGUGCACUCUGGCCCAGAUACUAGUUUUUCCCACGGCUUUCGCAACUCGCAGACCAGGAGAUUCCCUUGGGUGCCUACACCACCAGGGCCCUGGGUUUCAGCACAAAACUGGGCAUGUUAGGGCAGACACCGAGGUAGCCACAGGAGUUUUGUUCUUCAUACCCCAGUGGCACCUGGAAUGCUUGCAAAUUGGUGGCCGUAGCAAUUUCUGUUUUCAGUGGCUGUUAUAAAAAUUACAUGAGAAAGUAGGCAAAGUACUAAGUAGGGUACCUGUCCUAUAAAUGUUAGCUUCAACUCUUAUACCUCCUCAUCUAUUACUGUUAAAUUUGUUAUUUAUUACUAUUGAAACACCAAUGAAGAAAUACUGUUAUUGCAAAAAGUAUUUGAGAAACUGACUUAAAAAAAUUGGGAAGAGAAUUGCCACUUUUUUAAAAGGUAAGUUUAGGUGAAAAGGCAUUUGGAAUGAGUUCAGUAAAUGUGGUGAAAUAAAGACAACUGAACAGAUAAGACACAAUUAGACCAUGUCAAAAUGGCUAACACUCAUAUAACCCCAAUUCACCUUUUUGAAAAUAUAAAUAACAGCUUCUCUCGCCAGGCGUCCCCGUGGAAGGACAUUGUCUUUAAACUCUGGCAAUCCCUGACGCACUGCUGUGCUGCCCAGGGAAAACAGGGCGACCCGGAAGUCCAACUACUUCCUUAAGAUCAUCCAACUAUUGGAUGAUUAUCCGAAAUGCUUCAUUGUGUAGCAGGCAAUGUGGGCUCCCAGCAGAUGCAGCAGAUCCGCAUGUCCCGCCGCAGGAAGGCCAUGGUUCUGAUGGGAAGAACACCAUGAUGUGUGAGGUCAUCCGAGGGCACCUGGAAAACAACCCAGCUCUGGAGAAACUGCUGCCUCUUAUCUGGGGGAAUGUGGGCUUUGUGUUCACCGAGAUCAGGGACAUGCUGCUGAGGGACAUUACUGAGAUCAGGGACAUGCUGCUGACCAAUAAGGCAGCAGCCUAUGUGAAGUCACUGUGCCAGCCCAGAACACUGGUCUGGGGCCCGAGAAGACCUCCUUUUUCCAGGCUUUAGGUAUCACCACUAAAAUCUCCAGGGCCAUCGUUAAAAUCCUGAGCGAUGUGCAGCUGAUCAAGACUGGAGACAAAGUGGGAGCCAGUGAAGCCACGCUGCUGAACAUGCUCAACAUCUCUCCCUUCUCCUUUGGGCUGGUCACCCAGCAGGUGUUCGACAAUGGCAGCAUCUACAACCCUGAAGGGCUUGACAUCACAGAGGAAACUCUGCACUCUCACUUCCUGAAGGGCGUCCGCAAUGUUGCCAGUGUCUGUCUGCAGAUUGGCUACCCAGCUGUUGCAUCAGUACCCCAUUCUAUCAUCAACAGAUACAAACGAGUCCUGGCCUUGUCUGUGGAGACUGAUUACACCUUCCCAGUUGCUGAAAAGGUCAAGGCCUUCUUGGCUGAUCCAUCUGCCUUUUCCGUGGCUGCCCCUGUGGCUGCUGCCACUACGGCUGUGCCUGCUGCUGCUGCAACCCCAGCUAAGGUUGAAGCCAAGGAAAAGUCGGAGUCGGACGAGGAUAUGGGAUUUGGUCUCUUUGACUAAUCACCAAAAAGCAACCACCUUAGCCAGCUUUAUGUGCAAAACAAGGAAAUAA